CUGGGGCGGGAGUCUGCGCGCUCGAGCCCCGUGAGCCCAGCGCCGGGGUGCCGCGCGCCGCCAGUGCACCUCAGCCGCCGAGCGCCGUUCUUCGGAGGCUGUCAUGUCUCCCGGCCGACCCUGGCAGCCCGGCGCGGCCGAGGCUCCGGCGUCCACGGCAGGCACCCGCGAGGGGCCAUGAUCCGGCUGGGCGGCUGGUGCGCGCGGCGCCCCCGUGGCGCGGCGGGCCCGGCGGAGAGGCGCGGAGUGUCGGGGGGGCCGGGCAGCCGCGCCCUGCGGGUGCUGGUGGACAUGGACGGCGUGCUGGCCGACUUCGAGGGCGGUUUCCUCAAGAAGUUCCGCGCGCGCUUCCCCGACCUGCCCUUCGUCGCGCUGGAGGACCGGCGCGGCUUCUGGGUGUCGGAGCAGUACGGUCGCUUGCGGCCCGGGCUGAGCGAGAAGGCCAUUAGCAUCUGGGAGUCCAAGAAUUUCUUCUUUGAACUUGAGCCUUUGCCAGGGGCUGUGGAAGCUGUGAAGCAGAUGGCCAACCUACAGAACACUGACGUGUUCAUCUGCACAAGUCCCAUCAAGAUGUUCAAGUACUGUCCCUAUGAGAAGUAUGCCUGGGUGGAGAAGCACUUUGGUCCUGACUUUUUGGAGCAGAUCGUGCUGACCAGAGACAAGACCAUAAUCUCUGCUGACCUCCUCAUAGACGACCGGCUGGACAUUAUAGGGGCUGAGCCACACCCCAGCUGGGAGCACGUCCUCUUCACAUCUUGUCACAACCAGCACGUGUGGCUGCCUCCUUCCCGCCACCGGCUGCACUCAUGGGCGGAUGACUGGAAGGCCAUUCUGGACAGCAAGCGGGCCAUUGUUGACUGCUGCACUGAGACUCUCCUUGACUGACUCCAGGGCUCCUGCUCAGGCCCUGUGGACCUGUGGUUCCCUCCAGAUGCAAUGGCCAAGACCACCUCCUGCUGCAUGCCUCUACUCCAGCCCUGCCAGGCCUUAACCUGCUCUUGGGGUAGGGCUGGGCCCCUGGACACCUGGACAGAGACAUAUGUACCCAGGAGGUUUGGACUGACCUCAGAUAGUGGCCCCAAGCUGUCAGGGGCCCUGAGGCUCAUUCCAGGGAGUUGUUGAGGCCAGCAGCCCUGCCUACUCACUAGGGGGAGAUCCCUGAGCUGUCGGCACCCUGGUCUCCAGGUCUGCAGCUGUCAGCAAGAAGCACCAGGAAUGUGACAGCUGAGGUGCUCUCUGGUGGGCCUGAGGCCCUUGCUCUCCUGACCGCAGUACCCAUCCUACUUGCCCAGCCUGUCUGGGCUCCCCAAAUGACCUGUCAUGUAAUCAGCAAACACUGCAGCUUCCAGUCACCAGGCCAUGAGCUGGGGGACAACACUGGCCCUGCCUGUGACCAGCUCCAAGUUACCUCUGCUCCAUCCCUGGGCCCCAGCACAGGGCCCAACAGAGCCAACAGGAUUUUAUUACAUCACUUGCCCUUAAGACUAUGCGUUCCAUUCUGUGGGGAUACCAGCAGCAGAUCACUGGAAGCUUGAGGCCAGACUGUACUACAUGGUGAGACCCUGUCUCAAAGAAACCCCACUGGCAAGCAAAGCUCAUGUACCUGGAUAUCCUGGGGAUACUUUUUGUUGGGGGAACAAGUGAUGUGUCCAGGGUGCUAUCUGCCUCCUGAUCCUUUGGAAAGUGCUGUCUUACCCUUCAUCCCUCUCCUCUCUGCUUCUGGCCCUUGGCCACAGAUCGCCCCAGCAGAAGGGACUGACCUUUCCAAUCCAGACACAAUGCUGAGCCAGCAGUUGAAGCAUCAAAGAAAGGACCCAGAAGUGGGGAGUGCUUGUAUCAGUGACAACCCAGGAGGAGCAUCUGUAACAAGUGCUCUGGUCCACACCUUCCACUGAGGAACUGGAGGCUUGUACCAGGGAUUGAACUCGGGUCGUUGCGCUUGUGCAGCAGGCAGCAAAACCACUGAGCUAAAUCCCCGGCCCUCAUUGAGAUUGUUCUUGUGCUGUGUGAUGCUGUGAAGCCACCUGAGAUGAGAGUCUGCAUCCUUGUAUACCUCAUGAACAUAAAAGGUUUUGGUUUUAGGGCUGAAAGACAAAAUUUCCCUGCAGACAUCCCGGAGAGGCCACUGAGACAAUGGAGGGGGCAGGAAUGGGGGUCCCUCUCCAAGACUGAAUCAUUAGGGCUGCUGGGGUGGAGGUGAGGCCACUGAAUACCAUCAGACAUUCACUGUGGUUUGAGCAAGGGGGGAUGCUCUCUGGGGUUCCCUCUGUUGAAGGUCAGGAUUCACCCACACUGAGCUGAAAGCCAAAUUCUCAUUCGUUCUGUGGUGAGGAGAGAAGAAACUCCAAGAUUUAUUGGUUUGGGCUUUUACCACCUAUGGGGAAGUGACUGGUCAAAAGAGAUUUAAAUGACUUUUAAAAACAAAGAAGUGUGAAGAAAAACAGAACCAAUACACCAAAACCUAGAGGAUGCAGAAAAUCAGUGUUAGGAGGGGAAUUUAUAGAUGUAAACGUUUAUGCUAGAAAAGAAGAUCUCAAAUCAAUAGCCUAACUUUACAGUGUAAGGAAUUAGAAGAAAAAACAAACUAAAUCUAGAGAUAGAAGAAAGGAAAUGAUAAAGAUUAGAGCUAAGAUAAAUGAAACAAAAUAGAAAAACGUUAGAGAAAGUCAACAAACCCAAACAUGAGUUCUUUAAAAUGACCAAAAAUAAAAUAACUGACAACUGACAAACCUUUGUUAGAUGCGGGGCGGGGGGGGACUCAAAUUAUCAAAAUCAGAAAUCUGGGGACAUAACUAUGGAUCCUACAGAAAUAAAAAAGGAUUAUAAGAGAAUGCUAUGAACAGUUUUGCCAACAAAUUGGAUAACUUGGGUGAAAUGGGUAGAUUUCAAGAAAUACACAAGCAAUCAAGACUAAAUCAUAACAAAACAGAAAAUCUGAACAGACCUCUCACUACUAUGGAGAUUGACUCUGUAAUCAAACCCUCCUGAUGGCCUGGGGGUGCAACUCACUGGUAGAGUCCCUUUCUCUACUAGUGUGGCCCUGAGUUCCAUCCCCAGCACUGCAAAACAAAACAGGCAAAACCCUCCUGACAAAGAAAAGUCCUCAUCCUGAUAAAUUUGAUCACUGGUGAAUUCUACCAAACAUUUAAAGCAGGACUAAAAUCAAUAAUUCUCACACACUUCCAGAAAACUGAAGAGGAGAGAACAUUUCCUGACUCAUUCUACAAGGGCAAUAAAACUGGUACUGAAGUCAGUCGGCACAAGAAAAACUACAGACCAAUAGUCUUUACGAAUAUUGCUAUAAAAUUGUCAACAAAAUACUAGCAAAUCAAAUUCAAUAGUGUCUUGCUGAGACAAAAUAUCCAACAUCCAAAGUUAAAGGAGGAAAGGUUUAUUUAGCUCACAGUUUGUAGAAGUUUAAGUCCAUAAUUGACUGGCUCCAGGGCAGAGUGGCACAUAGCAGAGUGGCAUUGCAGGGCAGAAAUAGUUCAUGGCACCCACACAGUAGCAAAAGCAACAAGGGGACCUUAACAGUGUCUUUCUGCCCCUUUUAUCCAUACCACUGGGAUUAGGGCAGUGCCACACCAAUCAGUGUAUUGGUUUAGUAAUCACACGCCCUUAAUCCUAGCAUCACACACUCUAGAUUCAGUCACCUAUGACCGUAUAAGGGGAUAUCUAGACACAAACCAUAACAAAUAGCACAUUAAAAGGGACAUACAUCAAGACCAGGAGGGAUUUAUGCCCAGUAUGCAAGGAUCUUUCAACAUACAAAAGCAAUCAAUCACAGUGAUGUAAAAAAAUGAACAAAAGGAAAAACUACAGGAACAUCUUGUUGAUUUCAGAAAAAAAUCAUUUGACAAAAUCCAACACCUUUCAUGAUUAAAAAAAACACAAGCAAUCCCAAUUCAAAAAUGAGCAAAGGACUUGAUUAGACAUCUAUCAAAAGCAGAGAUAUAAAUGGCCAGCAAGCACAUGAAAAGAUGAUUAACAUCACAAUGAUUAGUGAGAUGCAAAUUGAAACCAUCUUCUAUAAUGAAAAUGGCCAUUAUGGAAAACAAAAAGCAGAUGUCUGUGAGGAUGUGGUGAAAUCAAAACUUAUAUUUACUGCUGUGGGAAUGUAAAAUGGUGCAAAUAAUACAGAAGAUAAUAUAGUGCUAAAAUAUUAAAAAUAGAAUUACUAUAUGAUCCAGCAAUUUCACGUCUGAAUAUAUACUGUACCUACAAGAAUGGAAAGCAAGAACUGGAUGAGAUGUUUGUGCACCCAUGUUCAAAGCAGCACUAUUGACAAUAGCUACAACAUGAACCAGCAUAAGUGUCUGUGACAGAUGAAUGGAUAAACAAAAUGUAGUUCAUCCAUACAAUGAAUAUCAUUCAGCCUGAAAGGGAAGGAAAUUCUGACACAAGAUACAUCAUGGAUGAACCUUGAGGAUAUUAUGCUAAAUGAAGUAAGCAAGUCACAGACAGCAAACAGUCAAAUUCAUAGAGACAGAAAGUAGAAAUGGUGGUUGUCUGGGGCUGAGGAAAGGGGAAAAUGAGAAAUUUCAUGGGGACAAUGUUUCAAUCUGGGAUGAUGAAAAUGUUCUGGAGAUGGAUAGUGGUGAUGGCUGCACAACAAUGUGAAUGUGCUUAAUACCACUGAAAAAUACCCUGAAAAAUAGUUAAAGUGGUAAAUUUUAUGUUAUAUAUAUUUUAACACAAUAAAAAUAUACGUAUGUAAUACAAAUAAAGAGAUGUGAUUGAUGAGG